rnacentral:lncRNA from 1 species
GAAAACAUUCCAUCCUCAUGAAUUUGAAGAAUCAAUAUAAUUAAAGUGUCCAUGCUCCCUAAAGCAACCCACAGAUUAAGUGUUAUUUCUAUCAAACUAUCAAUGCCAUUUUUGGUGAACCUAGAAAAAAAAAACUUUGAAAUUCAUAUUAAAGAAUAAAAGAGCCCAUAUAGCCAAGGUAUUCUUAAAAAGAAUAAACCUGGAAGCCUAAUAUUACAUGACUUCAAACUGUACUACAUGCUACAGUAACCAAUAUAACAUGGUUCUGAUACAAAAAAAAUACAUCCUCUCCCUCUCCCUCUCCCUCUCCCUCUCCCGUCUCCCCACAGUCUCCCUCUCCCUCUCUUUCCACGGUCUCCCUCU